AAAAACAUCUAAAUAAAAACGAAAAAAAAAGACAAGAAACUGCAACAACUACAGAGAAAGUAAACAAACAACAGCAGAGACUAAGCAAAGAACCGUCGAGCAAAACAAAACCGAAAACCGAAAGAACUGAAAGCAGCAAGAGGAAGCAACAACUUCUAACGGCAACUUCUCUAAUUCAAGAGCUCAAGAGACGCGCGCUCGCUGUGGCCGCCAUUGUCCCGUUGCCAACGCCAGCGUCAACGCCAGCGUCGCAGUCGCUGUCGCAGUCGCAGUCGCCGUUGUUUUAAUAAUUGAAAGUCUUUAACCGAAAGUCUGCAAUCAGCAAUCAACAACAACAACAAAAUUAAAUAAAUAUCAAGAAAAAAAAUAUAUAAUAUAUAUAUAAACCAUUUUAUGAAAUUUUGAACUUCAAUACAAAAGAAAAUAAAGCGUGAAAUAAAAAAAAAUAAAAUAAAAGUAGGAAACGGCUCCAAUACAUUUCCCACGAUUUAUUUGUGUUACAAUUUUUUUAAUGUGAGCGAGAAAAAAAAAGAAGGGAAAAUAGAGCAAAGGAAAAGCAAUUGUAGAAUCGAAAUACAUAAAAAAAAACUUUGUGAAAAUAUAAAAAAAAAAAUAAAAACUUUUUUUUACUGUAAUUUUUUUUUAAGUGUGCAUAUAGCUAGGUGUUAGCUAUAUAGAUCGCAUAUAGAUCGUAUAAUUGAUUAGGAAUUAUACAAAUAGUGUUGUGGGUUGUUACAUCUGUGCUCAAGUGAGAAAAGGAGGCCGAAAAGGAAGCAAAAAAAAAAAAAAAAAAAGAGGAAGGAAACAGCAAGAAGAGAGCGAAGAAAGGUGAGAGGAAGUCUGAAAAGUAAGAGAGAAGGAAGUAAAAAGGAAACGAAAAUAAGAUAACAAAAGAUCGAAUAGAAGACGAAAAGCAGAGAUAAAAGGAGACGAUAUAAAAACCAAAAGCAGAAGAAAGAGAAGAAGCAAAGAACCGACAAACAAGCGAAAGAAAGUCUAAAAAGAAGUACGAAAAGUAGUCGAAAGGAAGAGAUACGAAAUCAAGAUAACGAAAGAUCUCAUAGUCUAAAAAGGAAAAAAAAUUGAAAAUAUAAGGAAUAGAACGAAUAGAAAGUAAAAGACCAAAGCAGACUACGAUAAUUGAUAAAAGAACGCGCAAGAAAAAGUUGAAAACCAAGCAAGAGGAUAACGAAAAGAAGUAAAAAAAAAAAAAAAAUUCGAAAACGAGACGAUUUCGGGGCGAUUUGGACACGA